rnacentral:lncRNA from 1 species
GGAUAUCCCAACCAUAGCAAGUGCUCUUCAAUAGCUGAAUAUGAGAAUGUGCCAGCAUCAACAUAGUCAAUCACCUCCACAGAAGGAUUAUAGUACUCCAUGUUAUUUCUUGGUCCAUAGAAAAGCCCACCAUGCUCAAGUUCCAGUGUAAAGAAAGGGGUGUCCACAAUCUGUCCCAUUGUUGAAUCACAAACUGCAGCAAGAAAGUGCAUUAUGUAAGCCAAAGCAUAUCACAUCUCAAACAACCUCUAAGUAGAUAACUGAAGAGUAAAAUAACUGCAACUCAACUUAAUAAAUUCAUAUGACUAAAUUGUGUAACCUGCAAGUUAACUCCAAGCAGCAAGUUCACUUAAUUUAUUCAGUUAAGUGCAUGUUGCAAGUUCACUGAGGAAAUUCAGUUAUGCAUUCUUUUUGCAAGAAACAGGGUAAGCACAAUCUUCAACCAAACUCAACCAGCCACAGUCAACAAUAAUAUCUUCAAGACUAAAUUCAGUUACCUGACCAAAUUCAGUUAACUGACUACAUUCAGUUAACUUACUACAUUCAGAUAACUGAUCUAGCAAGAUAAAACAACAAAAAGGCAUUCUAAUGAUGUAGUGGCACUACUAAACUAUUGAGCAACUACUAAACAGCAGCACUACAACUACAAAUUUCAUGUUUUUAAAAGUACAAACAUGUGCCCUACUGUUCAAUGUCAACCCUACAACCAAAAGAGAUUUCGCACCAAUGUGCUCUGCUGGUCAAUGUUAACUGGUCAAAAUAAUAUAUUGUGCCCGAAAGAACAUGAAACACAAGAACCCUAGCUUCUUGGCGAAAUCCUAAAUUUCACAGCCUAAACCCUAGUCUGAAAUCAACGACCACCUCAAUAACCAGCUUCGCAGCGCCGGAAGCUGUAUAGACACAGAAAUCCAUCGUAAAUACCCGCAACGCUAUCCAAAGGGGGUGAUCCGCCGAUGCUGCGGACGACACGACAGGACGAUCAAACCAAAGGAGGAGGGAGGAACAGAGCAGAGAGGGAAGGAGGACGCACCAUAGUCGGGAGGAAAGAUGCCGUGCGGGCGAACUUGAUGCGCGGUCGGAGGAGGGACGACACCGCCAGUGUAUUCCGGCGACGACGCCGCCAUGGUUGUUGACGUCAGCCAGCACCCGACGCAUGCGGUCGGCGCGAGCAAGACAGCAACCAAAGCCAAGUGGAUGAAUGAUUGGGGUGGGGAGGGGGACAAAAUAAAUUCAGGUGUUUUUUGCUUCGAGGGGGACAAGGAGUAGUGCGGGUUGAUUCGUGAUAAAGGCAGGGGGCUAACUGAAAAACUUGCGGCGCUGACUAGCCCAGGCUACCUGGCUCCACUUGGCGAGUUCUGAUUGGAUGUGGACUAAACUUGCACAUCCAUGACAAGUUUAGGAAUGAAAUAAUCAGCUUUUUCAACUUCAAGGGCCAAACCAUCACCUGACAUGCAAGUUCAGGGACCUGCAGUGCUACUACCUCUUCACUGCUACAUGCACCUCUGGUUCAGAACUUUAGAUGUGUCACAUGUGUGUGUGCCAAAUGUGGCGGCCAACAGAUGUGUUAACAACCAAAUCAAACUGCAGUUGCUAAUCUCCUUCAGAACCUCGAUCAAACUUCUGUUGCCGAGGAGGGGGAGCCUGCGCGCUCUCCUUUAGAACGUUGAUCAAACUUUUUUUGCUAAUCUUCUUUGAUUAGCAACCAUUUUCUGUAACUAUCAAUGAAAAGCCAGGCAACUGGGUCCUUAAAAAAACAGAUGUGUUAACGGGAGUGUGGCAUGUCUGCAAAGCCAUGUGACGAACGACCCGACCCCCGCGUCGCUCCUGGGCGGCUCGGGGGAACCCCAAUCGUCGGCCGGCGGCGCCCCCCUUCGCCACCCCUUCUCCCCCUCGCCGCUGCCGGAGGAUGUGGCCAGGCUAAGCCCGCACCGUGGACGGCGGCGGCGGGGCGUUCCCCGCGCGAUGGCGCGCAUCUCUGGUGGAGGGAGGUCGCUCCCUCGUCCUCCUCGGCGGCCCAGCAUUGCGGCGCUCCGGUGGCCAGGACCGCGGAUCUGGAGGGUGGCUCCUCCGGCGGUCCCCUGAUUCCGGUUGCUGCUCGCGGGAUGGCGCCUCCGGCUCCCUGUGGUCUGAGGCGGCGACUCUGCUUCGCUUCUCAGAUCCGGUCAUGGUUGGGUUGGGGUGGCGGCCCUCCCACCUCUGCUCGCAGGCGAUGCUGCUUACCUGCAGGUUUGCUGGCCGGGAGUUGUGCGCCUCUUGUGGCUGCCAUGCGGAGGAGGGUUGCUGGGUCUGGCAGGCGGCCAGAUCUGGCUCACCACCGGUGCUGCUGGCCGGCUUCGACGGCAGCAAGGUGUGGUGGCGGCAUGGAGGACCUGGUGGUUGGGUCGGCGCCAUGUGUGGUUUGCCCUACAGACAGAUCUGAUCUGGCCGGUGCGACCUCAAUGUGCGGCGGCUCAGAUCGGCAGUGAUCCGUGCAUACGAUGCUUGAUGGAGGUCACUUCAGUGGAUCUGGGUGAAAACCUAGUUCUCGGCUUUGCCAAGACCGGUGUUGGUGGCACUCUUUUGUGUCAUUACCUUCUUGAAGGCCUCGCCGUGGAGAAGCUCCAGACCUCUAUCUGCUACCUCCGGGGGAAACCCUAGAUCAAUAGAUCAGAUGACGGCGGCGCGUUGGUGUCGUUUCCUCCUUGGGGGCGUCAUUCUUGGAGGUGUACACGGGUUCGAGGGACCAAUGGGCGGCUUUUUUUGUGGAGCGGUGCUUCAUCCUGCAUAUUGAUGACGGCGGAUCUCGGCUGCAUGGUGCAGUGGAGACUCGACGCCUGAUGCGCCGUGCUGGACACGCGCAGCAGGGGUUGCUGUCUGGCGUCAUGGUGGUGUCGAUGACUGAGUGGCCUGACAAGGUAGUAGCCUCAAUAUCUGCUCUGAAGACGGACCAAUGAAAGAUGGCGGCGACGACACAUGUGAGUGCGUCAGACCAGUUCAUGCCCCAGACCCGGUAUGUGGCUCGGCUGGGGCUGCUGACUUUUGAUGAUAGACUUAGGUGAGUGACUGGGUAUUUGGCCCAGCUAGCGCCCCUUUAUCAUAUGGAUAGGAGGAGUAGUGGCAUAUGAUGCCAAGAUGGCGGAUUCAGACAUAUUGUUGUAAUACUUUGUAAGGUCCUCGAGAAUAAUCAAUAAAGUGGCCGCAUGCAUCUUCCAGAUGCAGAGGCCGGGGGUCAUCCUCCUUUUAAAAAAAAAUGUGACAAACGACCCAACAGCCACCAUGCACGGCCAGGUGUCGUUCAACGGGCUUGCAAAGAAGAGCGGCGAGGAGCAGCGGCAACGACUGACAUUGCAUCUCCACCCGACUUCAAAUCGACUAGUUGAUCAUGCGCACUUUGCUGCGCCUAGACUUGUUGCGAUGAUCCAUUAGUUAUGUCCUUCACCGUUUAGAUGUCGACUUUAGCAAUCAAAUGAACAAAUGUCAUCCCUCUAGUUAUGAGAACCAGUAGUAACGGGCACUCUUUAACAAUGGUUUGUUCUAUUUAAAACUGAAUGGAAUCCUCCAUCUCUUAAACUAACCUUAUAGACAUUACAGGGAGUGAAACCAAAAGGACAACAUGCCAUCAUAAAGAGGUACGGUGAAAUCAGUUUUUCCAAUGUCACUUAGCUGAACAAAAGGAACAUAAAGCAAACUGCAAACUAUAGCAUAACAUCGUCUUAGUACCUCUGGCCUUGUAUCCUCAGGUUACCAUCCAUUCAUUUGGUGGAGAUUUGGAGAUCAGCCUUUGGCCGCAUCACACCUCUGCUGCUCACAAUGGGGCGACAUCAGCAUCAAUUAUAUGAUUUUGGAAAUAGUUCAACAUGGUGGUCAGAAGCAUCAUGUACAGAGCCAAAACUGAAUUAGCCAAAAAGGAAACCACACUGCAGCUUUAAAUCAUCUUUUUUUAGACAGAAGGCAAUCAUCAUCCAUUUCACGUAUAAUUUAGCUAAAAAUAUACUCCCUCCGUUCCUAAAUAUUUGUCUUUCAAGAGAUUUCAACAAGUGACUACAUACAGAGCAAAAUGAGUGAAUCUACACUCUAAAAUAUGUCUAUACAUCCGUAUGUGGUAGUCCAUUUGAAAUCUCUAAAAAGACAAAUAUUUAGGAAUAGAGGGAGUAUAUAAUAGAUAACCAUAACCAAUGAUUUAAGUUUGUAACAUCAAGUCUAACCUGAAGUGUUAUCACAUUCAUGAGCGUGCUAUAACCUUUAUAGAAUCGCUUCUUUAAUGACUCAAGGAUUGGAUGAGAAAAAAAUACAGAAAUAGCUAGCCAUUGACUGUGGAGACGGCUCUGUAAUGCAUAGUUUGUGCUUUAAGUGGUGAUACAGGAUAUGUUUUACAUUACCAAAUGGCAAUGAAACCACUCCAAACAAAUAGAUGAUUGAUUAAAAGUAACCUAUGCUGGAGAUAUAUUACACUACCAUUAAGGUGUCCUACAAUAGAAGACAACAUGUGGUGCUCAAUACGACACUGGACCGAUGGUAGCCUGAGUGGCUUACUUUCUUCAGCAUCAUUUCUAACUCAUAAAUUCAACAUUAUCUUGACUGAUGGCAUAUACACUAAAUGAUGUUAAAUCAGCGAGAACCAUCGUGAAUUCCUUAUGUCCGCAUGGAACCCCCAUAUGCUUGUAUUACAUAAACUGCAGACUGAUAUACCUGGAAAUGAAAUUAGUAAUGGUUGAGCAAGUAGGAUAAUAACAAAUUUGCUUACCCCUGUAUUCAUAGUUUCAUACCAAACGAAACAGACUUAAGAUGUCAGUUGUAUUUUUACCACCGAUGCCACCAAGCUCUUGUCGAUAACCAUCUCCUGUAUAUUCAAUCUUCUUAAGCGGCCGAGCUACAACACUUGUACAAAUUUUAUGAAUAAAGUCACCACCAAACUAUAUAAAGAAAAGACACCCUGAUUUUACUUAUUAAAAUUUUGUGGUAAUUUAUUAAAACAUUCAACCACUCAGGAGUAACAAACUAUCGAUCUAGAGGGGAAUGUUUUAACUAUUUAACUACUCAAAAAAAAAUGUGAACAUUUGUGUGCAUACUGAAUUGUAGUGUACGCUAGCUUGGUUGAUUCAUAUCAGGGAAGCUCCAAAUCAAUCACAAGCCUCUGAGUAGGUAGAAGAAGGACGCAAGGGAUGCAAACCCGCCAGCCGACACAGCUACAGCCUCCCUCCGAAGAAAUCGAUGCAGAGGAAGAAGGAAUCGGCAGCAGAUGGUUCGACCCUGACGAAGAAGCAGCCAAGCAGGCACCAAACACGCAGCCGAAGAGAUCCGCACCUCCCGCCCACUAAAGAGAUCGACGACACCAUGCCUUCUCAGAGCAGGAACCAGCGCGCCACUUGCUUUCUCUGAAAGGGAACCAGCAUCGGUACUCGCCUCACCCAAAUCAGAAGAGGAAAAGAAACCAUCGCCACCCCAACAGUUAAAGAAAAUGAAGAACGCCACAUGCAGAAGAUUCACCCCUGGCAGCGACACCACAUGGCACACGUCGGAGCCGCCGCCGGAGAGCCAGACGAAGAAGCUCACAAAGACGAAGCUGAUAUGUGUCACCAGAGCCUCAACAUCGGCCUCACAUGCAUCGGCCUCCACGGGAUCCUGCACUGGUGGCGAGGUAUUGGUCGUUCUCGCCUCCUUGAGUUGUCACCACCGCUCGCCUCCUUAGCGGCUGUCUGCUGGUGCGCCAGAUGCCCGAGUCCCAGGGAAGCCGAGGGCGAACGCCCGAGGCCCUCCCCCGGCGGAACAAUACUGAUGAAUGCGAUAAGGGUGAGCCGCUAGACACCUCUCGUCCGCCCCAGCUAUACCUCGAACCGACGAAAAACAUCAAACCGACUAAGAUACGUGUCUGCAGUCCACACACAGCCAAU